rnacentral:rRNA from 1 species
GAUGAACGCUAGCGGGAGGCUUAACACAUGCAAGUCGAGGGGCAUCACGAGGUAGCAAUACUUUGGUGGCGACCGGCGCACGGGUGAGUAACGCGUAUGCAACCUACCCUGUACAGGGGGAUAGCCCGGAGAAAUUCGGAUUAAUACCCCAUAAUGAUAUUUUAUGGCAUCAUAAAAUAUUUAAAGCUCAGGCGGUACGGGAUGGGCAUGCGUAACAUUAGCUAGUUGGUAGGGUAAUGGCCUACCAAGGCAACGAUGUUUAGGGGUCCUGAGAGGGUGAUCCCCCACACUGGUACUGAGACACGGACCAGACUCCUACGGGAGGCAGCAGUGAGGAAUAUUGGUCAAUGGGCGCGAGCCUGAACCAGCCAUCCCGCGUGAAGGAAGACUGCCCUAUGGGUUGUAAACUUCUUUUCCAGGGGAAUAAAAUCUCGAACGAGUUCGGGACUGAAGGUACCCUGGGAAUAAGCAUCGGCUAACUCCGUGCCAGCCGCCGCAGUAAGAC